GUUUAAUAACGAAAUGUUAUAAGGAGUAAACACAUGUUGCUGAGAUCUAUAACUUUCCAGAAAUUCGGAAAACCGUUUUCUUAUGGAUAAGAAAAUUGCUUUAAAAUUUUUAAAGUAAAAAAUUUGGUGAAUUGAAUCAUCUAAGUAACCAAAAUUAAAAUCAACCGAGAAAUUGUUAUUAGUGGCGAGCGAACACAAUGAUAGACUUCAAACUUAUUUUUUAUUUAAUAUUUUACGAGCCAAAGAAGGUAGCCUAUUUUUAAGGACAGCCCUGUAAAAUAAAACAUAAGUUUGUUAUUUUAGUAGAACGAUGCAAGUCAUGCUUUGUUUGAAUAUUGGGGGCCCACCCUCAAAGUCUAAAAAUUUUAAUGACUGAUAGCGAACAGUACUGUAAAGGAAAAGUGAAAAAGACUUUGCGAAAGUGAAAAGAGUUCGAAACUUAAUGCUAACAAUCUGUCAAAGCUUUCUAAAGUGAUGACGUACCUUUUGUAUAAUGGACCAACAAGUUUACUUUAAUGGCGAGCUUAACUAAUAAAAUAUAUAGGCGUAAAGAAAUUGAGUUUUAAAAUGCUCGUUAGUCAUUAGAGUAAGACCCGAAACUAAGUGAUCUAACCAUGGACAGGUUGAUGAAUAGGCGGCAACGCUUGUCGGAGGACCGAACCCGUGUAUGUGGCAAAAUACUGGGAUGAUCUGUGGUUAGGGGUGAAAGGCCAAUCAAACUUAGAGAUAGCUGGUUUUCUGCGAAAUCUAUUUAAGUAGAGCGUUUAAAAGACUUUUAUAAGGGUAGAGCUCUCGAUAAACAAUGGGAACGUAAAGUUUUACUGAGUUUAUUGAAACUUCGAAUAUUACUAAAAUGACUUUAAACAGACAGUCCAUGAGUGCUAAGAUUCAUGGUCGAGAGGGAAACAGCCCAGACUAUUAAUUAAGGUUCGUAAAAAUAAUUAAGUGAAGAAAUUGUAAAAAAAUGUUGACAACCGAAAAGUAGGCUUAGAAGCAGCCAUCUUUUAAAGAAAGCGUAACAGCUCAUUGGUUUAGUUUUUUUGCAUUAAAAAUGUUUAGAACUAAAAUUAUUUACCGAAAUUAUAGAUUUUCAAUAAAAAUGGUAGCAGAACGUUUUGUAUGUCUGAGAAGUCUUAUAUUAAUAUAAGAUGGAGAUAUCAAAAAUGAAAAUGUUGGUACGAGUAACGUUAAACAAUGUGUAAAACAUUGUCGCCUUAAGUUCAAGGUUUCCAAAACAAGGUUAAUCCUUUUUGGUAUUAAAUUAAUUCGGUCUCUAAGAAAAAAACGAAAGUUUUGUUUUAAUGAGAUAAAAAUCAAUUUUUUAAUUUUAGGAAGUGACAAAAUACAAAUAUUAUUUUUAUUUUAUGGUUAUAAUAAAGGUUGUAUAGUAUUUUCUAGAAAAAGCUUCUUAAAGUAAUAAAACCGUACCCUAAACCGACACAGGUGAACAAGU
rnacentral:rRNA from 1 species